AGCACAGCCAUUUAAAGCAUAUCUGCCCGAAAAAAAGAAUCCCACUCGGACAUGUCAACGUAUUUGUGCAGGAAAUUGAUUUCAAGGACCAGCGGGAGCAACUGAUUCAGAUGAACCGGAAGUUAAAGCCUAACGUCUAUGCAUGUAGUGCGUGCAACCUGGAGAGAGCAACGUCCUCUUCCUGCCCUCUGCAAAUCAUUACCAGCACGCCUGACAUCGUUGUCCUGCUGCCGCGCGUGACAAACCCGUCCAGGACAAGGAAACUGAGUCUUACGCCACCAAACACCCCGCAGAUGAAUAGAUUCUGAAUGUUUCUUUUCAUUACCAGCUUUCAAGUUGUGUUCAGAGGUUUAAACCAUCCAUCAUUUACCAUUCACUCAUUUCAUCCGCCCUCGUCACACUGAAAACCAGGGUCCAAUCCCACAUAUUUUUGAAGUCGAUUAUUUGUUCUGAAAAAAUCCACAUUCAUUUACCCACCACUCAAAACAUCCACCUCUAGAAAUAUUUGUACGUUGUUCUCAAAAUAACUGUUGGCCAAUCGCC